CUACGGGUGGCAGCAGUGAGGAAUAUUGCACAAUGGGGGGAACCCUGAUGCAGCAACGCCGCGUGGAGGAUGACGCAUUUCGGUGUGUAAACUCCUUUUAUGAGUCAAGAAAAUGACGGUAGCUCAUGAAUAAGCGCCGGCUAACUCCGUGCCAGCAGCAGCGGUAAUACGGAGGGCGCAAGCGUUACUCGGAAUCACUGGGCGUAAAGGACGCGUAGGCGGGUUGGUAAGUCAGGUGUGAAAUCCUACAGCUUAACUGUAGAACUGCACUUGAAACUACCAACCUAGAGUAUGGGAGGGGCAGAUGGAAUUAGUGGUGUAGGGGUAAAAUCCGUAGAUAUCACUAGGAAUACCUAAAGCGAAGGCGAUCUGCUGGAACAUAACUGACGCUAAGGCGUGAAAGCGUGGGGAGCAAACGGGAUUAGAUACCCUUGUAGUC
rnacentral:rRNA from 1 species